GCCCUGCCCUGCCCGCCCCGCGUCCCAGAAGAGCGCGCGGAGCUGAAUCCCGCGGCGCGCUGCGCUGUGUCCUGCUCGGGUGCGGGGCCGGGCGCUUCGCCUUGAGCUGCAGGCGGCCCUCUGUACCGCGGGAACAAAGAAACGGGAACAGAACGCGAGGCGCCUGCGGGCGGUGCCGCGGCUUUUGCUGCCGUGUCCGCUCGGGGCGAGCCGCGUCCCGCGUGAAGAGUUUGCACUCAGAAGCGUGAAACGGUUCCUGGUUGGGGGCGGCAGGGGCCUUUGAAAACCUCGGUGAUGCGUUUGUGGAGGGGGCGGAGCUCGGCGGCGUGAGGCCCGGCCCUGAGCGCGGCUGCGAUCCCGGCUGCGCUCCGCGCUCGCUCUGCUGCGCUCCCGGCGCUGCCCCGUGUCCUCAGGGGUCGGCGCUCACGGCGCGGAGCGGCCCAACUCCUGCGCGGCUGCGGGCCCCGCUCGGCGGAAUUACAGCCGCGCUUUGCGCUCCGCCCGGCGGGGACGCGCUGCGGCUCCGCUCCCGUUUCCCUCCUGUGAGCGGCGGCUCGGUUCUGCGCUAACGCUGUAAGAUGGGCGUUAGGGAAGGAAAACUGCGGACCCGUAUCCUAUCCCUCGUUCUCGUUCUGGAAAUUGAUUAUAACGCUGUUUAUUUAUAGACUUGUUUUGCUCCUUUCGUCAAACAUCAUUGUUAGGAACAGGUGUUUGGAGUUAAGGGAAAUUCGUUGUGUAGUCAGCCGUGGCAUCUUUCUCUCCGUGAUACGUGGAGCUCAAAGACAAUAACCCGGCACUCGAGUUACCAAGCGCCGGGGGCGGAUGUCAGAGGUGCGUGCAGCUGCAGGCGGCCCAGUUUAUUGAGAGAGUAAAUAACGAGAAACCUGGGCUGUAAAGAUUUGUGUGUGUUUGGAUGCAUCUGCUACGUGAAAAAAACUAGUUUUGUACGUAUUGCAUUUUUACUAUUCAGCUGUAUUAUACCGGCUCUUCAUGCUGUAGAAUUUAGGUGUCCAACAUGAACAAUAUCCAUGUAAUAAGCACUUGCUGAAAUAAAUAACAAACUGUGAAAUAAACAUGGACUGAAAUCUGAACCAGGAUUCUGCAUUUUCAUCCUCGUGCUCUGCAUGCAGAUAUUUCACUUCCUUUGUCACUUCCCAAUUACAAAGGCAGUGUUUUCUCUCCAGACGCGUGCAGUUGGGCAGCGGCUCCGGCGCCGCCCCCAGGCUGAGCCCAGCGCUGCUGCUGCGUGCUCCCAGCUGGGUCCGUGCUGUGCUGGGCAGCGAGCAAGCGCUCCUUUCAGGCCCCAGAAUUUAUCAAAACUUGGAAAAUUGAUAUUACCCGGACAUUUAUCAGCAAAGCAGCUUUAAUUGAUUGGGAAGAUUGAAAUGUUGUGCCUGUUGAAUGGGGAAGGUUGGCCAACGAUGCCGUCAGCGCCGUGACCGCGUGUGGCUUUGGUGCCUUGGGCUGGGUGUGCUCCAGGAGAGGGGAUCUGCAGCAUCCAUGCCUGUGAGAUGAGGAACUGGAAAUGCAGCCUGGCUAGAGCCCCUUCACCUAACUCAGAUUUGAAUGCUCUCUCCUGCAGACUGCAAAGUUGGAUGUCUCGGGUUUUCAGAAAAGCCUUCUGGGUCCCUUGCCUCUGGAACGCGGUCUGAGCCAGGUAAGCCAGGUCACGCCACACACUGCUCCAAUUGCUCGGCCCCUUGUAUGCACGUGGGGCACGUGUUCUCAGGCUCUGGCUCCCUGCACUCUGUGUCUCAAUCCUUUCACUUCUGGGUGCAUCCCAGGGGGUGGUGGGACAGGAUCCGUGCAGUGGGGCUGGCACAGCACUGAGUGCAGGGGCCUGCGCUGCCCCGGCUGCUCAGCACUGCCUCUGACACAAGGUGUGGUUUCCUUUCACACCUAUUUGCUGCUGAGUGUGCUGCCAAGGGACCAUGGCCUUUCUGCAGGAGCAGUUGUGUGGUGCUCCUUUAGUGUGCUGGCAAAGCCACGAGUGGGCAAGUGAAGCCCGGAUCUGAGUAGCUGUGGUGGCAGCUGCAGGCCUGUGUCAGUGCCCCAUCCCCUGCCAUUGCGCUCUGCUGAAAUCCUGGAGGAAGUUUCAUAACCCCCUUCCUGCAGGAAUUCAUAGGAAGAGCAGAGGCAGAGAAUGGCCUGGGCACAGCCCCUCCAGGCACAGCUGCACUGCUCGAAAAGCAGCCCCCUGGGCUCAUGGCCACAGCUGUGGUACAGUCCAGACCUUUACAGCAUCCGUGGGCGGGGAGCCCUGGGUGGUCCUCAGGUGGAACUGGGCUGCUUAAACAAGCUCGGCUGUGUAAUUUGCUGCAGCUGUGCCUUUAGCUUUCCCUGGGCUUUCAGGAGUCAUUGGUGAGAAGUGUUUCAUUCUGCAAAUCAGAGUGUGGAGGACUAUGGCACAUCAGCAUGGGCACUUUUUCCCUUUCCGUGCAGCUGAGUGAGCUGCUGUGCUGGGGGGAACGUGUGCUCGUGCUUUGUGCUGUGGCCAUGGCUUGGCACUGCCCGGCUGGAGGGCGCUGGAGCCGACAUCACGCCUCGGUGUGCAGCUGCCAGGGUGGACAGCCUGCUCCUGAGGGCUCCCCGUUCUGUCUCUGAAAGUACCUUGGGAGAAACUGGUUCCAAAGAUUUCCACAGAAUGCCUUGACAGCGGGCGCUCAGGCUGAGGCGCGGUGAGGCCUUGCGGAGCCGUGCACCGGCCACAAAGGGCGUGAGGCGCAGCUCUGAGAGCACUGAGGUCA